AAAAAAAGAAAGAGCGAGGAAAUUGCGCGGAGACAAAGAAAUCCCACGUGGGUGGAUCCCACGACAAAGACGAUAACAAAGUACUUCAAGUAACGCGUCGCAGAUGGGAAGGAAGGAAAAACAUAAAAGGCCAAAAAACGCUGACACACAUCGGCGAAAAGACGCUGACGUAAAAAAUGACGUCAGGAAAGAAAGCAACUGAUAUUUAAGACGGGACCUGAUGUGGUGUGAACACGUGCAACCCCACACAUCGGGCUAUAAAAACUCAAACUCAAACUCAAUUGAUGCUGGUUCCUCCAAUUCCAGAACUUACCUGCUCAUCUCAUCUCUCUGGUGAAACCCUAGCGCUGUCUUUGACAUAAACGCUAGAACCUUCUCUCUUCUCAGCUCUAAUCCUCUGCCAAAAUCUCGAACCCAAAAGCGGUGGAACUUCGGUCGACAGACCUGGUGACAAGAGAGACAACCAGAGAAGGCGGUUGAGAUCUUAUACAGCCAGCCAGAGAACAAAACUGAAAAGAUCUUCCGGAUUGAUUGAGUAGACCUACGAGAAUCCCAUUUAAGGCAAACAUCUCAAUUUGUAGGACUACGAUGUGAGCAGACAAUUGUAGAAUCUAAUGACUACUCCCAACAAUUAAUACUGCUAAACAUAAAAGAACUCGAUGAUCUAUUGAACAAUGAUCUUUAUUUCUACAGAGAAGCUAUAUACGAGCUUUCAUAAAGGGUUACAGGCGACAACUUCAAGGCAUGCUUCCCCGCAAAGAAAACUUUCUGCUGCUCCAUCGAGUCGUUGCUUAAGUACCAUUCUGAAGGGUGUCAGCAACGGUGAGCCUGUGAUUCUGAACUAAUUUCGAAACAACCAAACCGAAUAGGUAUGCGAUGGGCAAGAGGGACAGUUUCAUAGGAUUAAUUGCAUGGCGAUGAAUGAAAUGAUACUGCACUGCCGAGCAAAUGCAUUGAGCAAUGCCAAGACUUAAUCCAGUAAUUUCGGCGAAUGAACCAAAAAGUUUGUUAUUUGGAGGUGGAUAGUAAAAGCACCAUAGCAUUCCCCUCCUCCUCAAUACAACUCUUUCCUUUUUACCAUUGUGAACAAGCUCCCAGAUGCAAACAAGUACUGCCACGAUUGCCAACAGCAUACCAAUUAGUGCAUAGUGAGGCUUACCGGGGGAGGAAACCUGAUCAAAAAAAGCAGACAGACUCUCGAUGGCAAAGCUAGUGUAUAACACGAUCCGCUCUGAUGAAGUAGCCUGCAUAAGUUAUACCAACUUCAAUUCAGUUCUUUUUUUUUUUUUUUUUUUUUUGAGAAAAUUGAGGCAUUGGUUCCUUAAUUUUAAUUCAACUACAGUAACGAUCUUUCAACUAAAAAUCUAUGGUGAUUUAUCUCUUCACCCAUGAAAACGUGUAGCUAUGAUUUUUUUACCAACUCUAUCUAAAUUUCGUUAUAAUGAGUCA